rnacentral:rRNA from 1 species
UACGUAGGGGGCAAGCGUUGUCCGGAAUUAUUGGGCGUAAAGAGCUCGUAGGCGGUCUGUCGCGUCUGCUGUGAAAUCUCAGGGCUUAACCCUGAGCUUGCAGUGGGUACGGGCAGACUAGAGUGCGGUAGGGGAGACUGGAAUUCCGUGGUGUAGCGGUGAAAUGCGCAGAUAUCGGGAGGAACACCGGUGGCGAAGGCGGUCUCUGGGCCUGACCCUGGACGCUGAGGAGCGAAAGCGUGGGAGCGA